UAAAUUAAUAAUUAAAUUAAAGUUUAAUAAAACAAAACUAAAAGUCAUCAUCAUCUUUCCAUGUUUCACGAAAACAAAAGAAAAUUUCUCCAUUUUUGAAGCUUCACCUUCGGCUAACUCAAAGGCUUUGCAUGUAAGUCUAUUUUAAUUCGGUUUCUUGUCAUUUUUAUGUUUUAGAGAUCGUCACAACUAGAUCUAGCUAGCUCGUACCUUCGUUUUUUAUUUCGUUAAAAAUUUUGGAAGUUUCCAUUGAUGAAUAUUGUUUUUUUUAUGAAUAUCAUGUAUUUGGAGCUUUUAUUGUGCUAUUUGAUGAAUUUGUAAAGCAAUUUUUGUUAGAUUUUGAUAAGAUUAAAUUGUGAAAAUGUCAAAAUUUUAGGGUUUAAUAGUGAAUUUGAUGAUUAUUAAGGAAUGUUUAAGGGCCUAGUAUAUUUGGGUAAAAUAUUUACUUGAGAAAAAUAGUUAAUUUGAUGAAUUUCGGGUUAAGGGACUAAAUUGUAAAAAUUAUAAAAGUUUGGGGUAAUUGUGUAAAUUUAAAAAAGAAAAAGGUAUUAAUUGUAAAAUAGAUUGGAAUGUGAAGUGUGAGCUAAUAAUUGAGGAAUUCUAUAUUUUAGAUCAAGAUCCCGUACAUAUUCGUGAAAAAGGAAAAAUAAGAAUAGUAUCUGAACUUCAGCAACUACUACAAUUUAGUCCAGGUAAGUUCGUACGGUUUAAAUUUAAUAUUUAUUUAAUUUGGUAAAUAGUAUAACAAGAUAUAAUAUAUAUAAAUUCCAUUUUUGAAAAUGAAUCGUUAUUUGAGAUACUUAACUGAAUUUAAUAGCUCGAAUUGGAUGCGGGAUAGAGUACAGUUGUGACAUGGUAUGUUGUAGUUGGAUUAAAGUGGAGAUGAUUUGGAGGGUUCUUUAUGUUAUUUCCCAAGUAAACUGAGGUUCAGUAUUUGUUGCGAAUUCUUGAGUUAUACUCUUUGUUCGCGUUUUUCGGGUGGAUUAGCUCUUAUGAGCACUGGCGUGUUUCGAGGGAUUAGUUUUUAUGAGCAAUGGAGUGUUUCAGGGGAUUAGUUCUUAUGAGCAUUGGUAUGUUUCGGGUGGAUUAGCUCUUAUGAACACUGGUGUGUUUUAGGUAGAUUAGUUCCUAUGAGCAUCAGCGUGCUAUGGUUGGACUGACGAUGUACUUUUAUCCGUAAGACGUUCGUUGGAUUGGAAUUUUUGGUAAGUAACUUGUUGAGUAAUUUUAAUGAAAUCUCUAUAUUCAUUUAAGCAUUGAAUUGAUCGUUUAUAAUUUAUUAAUUGGGAUUAUGGAUGACAGGAUACUUUCUUGGUUAUUAUUACUUAUUGAAAUAUUACACUUAUUUCGGUAAGAUUAUUCGUUUAAUACGUCAAACUUACUAAGCUUCAUUAAGCUUACUUGGUUGUUUAAUGUCAUUGUAGAUUCUCGGAAGGUUGGACGAUCAGGUUGAAACUCAAGUCAAGCUAUCCAGCUCAUCUCAGUAGUUUUUGAAACGUUUAAUUCAAAUUAUAUGGCAUGUCUAGGCUCUUGUGUGGCUACUGUUAAUGUUUUUAGUUUAUGUAAAUUUGAUGGAUGAUCUUUUGUGCAAAUAACCAGCUUAUAUAUUACAUGAGAAUGAGGUAUAGUUUUUAUGCUAGUAUGAAUGGUAUAUAUUAAGGAAAUGUUGUGAGUGUGGUAUAUUUGAUAGGCAUUUUGGUUAGGUAAUGAUUGAAUAAAUUGAUGAUUUGAAUUGGUGUUUAUUUUGAUGCAUUAUCAUAUAUAUACUUGUGGUGCCGAUGAUUGUACAUUGGUUAAACACUUAUUAGGUUGGUUUUGGUGUGUUUUUGGCUCGAUUAAUGUCAUUUUGAAUUGGUAUUUUUGUUGGUAUUUGAGUUUCUUGAGGUUCAAGCAAACUUGAAAUGAUAAACUUGUGUUUAAAGGUUUAUUUAAGGUCC
rnacentral:lncRNA from 1 species